UGCUUUAAACAUAUUAAAAAAACAAAAAACUAAAAUUGUUGUUCAUCUGGAUUCAGAAACCUUCUCGUCUCUAUGCUCCUCGAUCUCUCUCAUCGUUUUGGAUUAAACUGUCAUUUUGGUCCCGGAUGACCUUCCUUCCCCUUAUCUUCAGUCUUCAUUCUAAAUCCCUAUCUUAACAGCUUCUCCCCAAAUCAAAAAAGGAAGUUGAAAUAGGAAACCCUAGCUUCUCCACCACCACCGCAAGGACUGCCGCCGUCCGUCGCUCUCAGGCACUACCAUCGUCGUCUGGUCGUCCAUGCUUCUUCCUCCUUCAAGAAUCGCAGCUUCUUCUUCCUCGAGCUCGGCGCGUCAGUUCCUGAUAUUCAUCUGCUCCAUCGCGCUCCUGCCGCCGUCCGUCGGACGCUCAGUCACCAUCGUCUUCGUCUGGUCGUCGCAGAUUCUUCCAACCCACCACCGUCUUCUGAGUUGUGUUCGUCGCCUGGCCUCUGUCUCCAUCACGAUUCUGCCCCUCUCUUCUCAGACUGCUCAGAAGAAAAACCCAUCUCCAUUCCAGUUUCCUUCCUUCGAGUUCAGAGAGCAGAAGCUCAACCAAGAAAAAAACCUUAGACUUCGACGGUCAGUUCACUGCUAACUUCUUCUGCGUUUUUUAUUUAUGCCAUGUUCAAUGAUUAUUUGAUUACUAAUGAGCUCUAGUUCUGCUGUGUUGCUAUUUUUGUGUGUUGUGAUAUUUUUUUGAAUGAUCUUCUGCUGUGGUGCUGUUUUGUGUGUUGCUGUGUUGCUUUUUUAUGUGUUCUUUUUUUUUUUAUUGACAUGCAUCUGAGUGAUAUCACCACUGUAACUUAACUACUUGCUCUGUUGAUGUGCUUUUGAUUUCUGAAUGUCAUGCCACUUGUUAUGUUGCAUAAUCUGAUUUAAACGCUUUUGAUUCUCUUUGGUUCUUUUCGGAGGCCAAAUCUGUGCAUUUUUACAGUUUUGAAAUACCUUGGACUGUUCUGUUGUUUUGUCCUGCCUUGUCUUGUUUGUGUAGUGCUAGUGACUUUGCCUUAUUAUACUAAUGAAGAGAAGAAUUUCCUGGUGUGCAUGUGGACAUUGGUGAGCUAUCAGAUUUAUAUCAUGUGAAAUCCAAGAAGUCGUAGAGAUAGUUUACAGAAAUAUGAGCUGUAGUUAUAAAACAAGACUUGGCGUACAAGGAGUGGAUUCUUAAGACAAUUGAAGAUACCUGGAAUCUUUUCCAUCACAAAUUCACUGCUCUUUGGGAUGAGCACAGACAUGGUGCGGGUGAGGCAUAUCUUCCAGCUAUAUAAUAUAAUCCUGAGGUUCAGCUGCUUGUACAGAAGAAAUACAUGACAGAUUUGUUUCAUGAUAGUCUUGGGUUUGGUGCUGCCAAAAUGAUAAGGUGAAAUUGCUGAUCAUCAUUUUUAACCAGAAUGCUAUAUGUUUAAUGGGACUUAUUUUGUUAGUUAGAUAUAAAACUAUUUGAGAACUUAUGCUUAAAUUGGGCAAUUGACUUGAUCAGACUCUUUUUGACCAAAAUGGCGACAAUUUUGAUUGUAGUUUGCAUUCUUCCUAUAAACAAUAUGGAAUGGUAAUAUUAGAAUGUGUCUUUUGCAUGACUCUAGUCUAAAGUGCUCGUGUGAGGAAACAUAUUAGGUAUAAAAUUCAGUGACAAUGUUGGAAUUGCUCUCUACUUUCUAAUGUGUAUAUAAUCAUUUACACUGAUGUUUACUUGAGGAACUUGUGAUUCACAGUUUAGUCCCUACAAUGUUCUGAAAGAAGGCAUAUACACUUAUUGGGCUCCAGAGGUGUAUCAAUCAAGGUGGAUAUUGUACAUAGAUCUUCAAGAACUAGUAUCCUUUAAUUUUCUGCAACUACAAGAGCCUAUUCAAAUGGGACAAAGAGUGAGUGAGUUUCACCUCGAGGCAUUGCAACAAGAUGAUGUAUGGAAGAGAGUUACAAAUGGCACCACAAUUGGAUAUCAGAGGCUUUUGCUGUUUCCAAAAGUAAAAUCUCAGCAUUUGAAGCUUUUUAUUGACAAGUCUAGAGCUGAUCCACUGAUAUCAUACUUGGGGAUCUACAUGGAUCCAGUUACCAUUUGGAGCAGCAUAUAUGAUGAUACAGUAUUAACAAGCCAUUUCAAUGCCACUCAAGUUAUUCAUGUUAUCACACAAGACAACUCUCAUACUGCUACUUAAACACCUACAAUGUAAACUUGCUCAGUUAUUUUUCUUGUAGUUGUAUGUUACACGGAAAUAGAAGAAAAUUUUUUGCUCAUUUAUGUAUGUGUGAAUUGGUAUCUGUUUUUCUCCCCAUGUAUUUUGUAGAAUCUUGUAGAGGACUCGUCUCUCAAUAAGGAGAGCACUAAUCUGUGCAAAUUGCUGUGUAAUUUACUUUCAUAGUAUCAAGAACAAAUCUUCCAAGUUCCAAUGGUCAUUAACUUGCACGCAUUGGCCU